AUUGAACGCUGGCGGCAUGCUUUACACAUGCGAGUCGAACGGCAGCGCGGGCUUCGGCCUGGCGGCGAGUGGCGAACGGGUGAGUAAUUCAUCGGAACGUGCCCAGUAGUGGGGGAUAGCACGGCGAAAGCCGGAUUAAUACCGCAUACGACCUGAGGGUGAAAGCGGGGGACCGAAAGGCCUCGCGCUAUUGGAGCGGCCGAUGUCGGAUUAGCUAGUUGGUGGGGUAAAGGCUUACCAAGGCGACGAUCCGUAGCUGGUCUGAGAGGACGACCAGCCACACUGGGACUGAGACACGGCCCAGACUCCUACGGGAGGCAGCAGUGGGGAAUUUUGGACAAUGGGGGCAACCCUGAUCCAGCCAUGCCGCGUGCGGGAAGAAGGCCUUCGGGUUGUAAACCGCUUUUGUUCGGGAAGAAAUCCUCUGGGCUAAUACACCGGGGGGAUGACGGUACCGGAAGAAUAAGCACCGGCUAACUACGUG
rnacentral:rRNA from 1 species